UCAAGCUAAGAAGAGCGCAAGGGGGAUGCCUUGGCACUGGGAGCCGAAGAAGGACGUAGCGAUCUACGAUAAGCCACGGUUAGUCGAAAGCAGACGUUUGACCCGUGGAUUUCCGAAUGGGGAAACCCGGCUGGAGUCAAGUCCAGUCACCGUAUACUGAAUCCAUAGGUAUACGGAGGGAACCGCCUGAACUGAAACAUCUAAGUAGGGCGAGGAAAAGACAUCAACAGAGAUUCCCUAAGUAGUGGCGAGCGAACGGGGAAGAGGCCAAACCGAGGGUAGCAAUAUCCUCGGGGUUCGGACAGCAUACGGCAUUGAAGGUAUCUAGUCGAAGUGUAUGGGAAGACACACCAUAGAGAGUGAUAGUCUCGUAGACGAAAGAGAAGAUCAGCCAGCUGUAUCCAGAGUACCGCCGGACACGUGAAACCCGGUGGGAAGACGGGGGGACCACCCUCCAAGCCUAAAUACUACCCAGUGACCGAUAGCGUAUAGUACCGUGAGGGAAAGGUGAAAAGAACCCCGGGAGGGGAGUGAAAUAGAACCUGAAACCUUGUGCUUACAAGCACCGAGAGCCCGUCAAGGGGUGAUCGGGUACCUAUUGUAGAAUGGUCCGGCGAGUGAAUGUAUCUGGCAAGGUUAAGGACUUAAGGUCCGGAGCCGUAGCGAAAGCAAGUCUGAAUAGGGCGUAUGAAGUCAGAUGUAUUCGACCCGAAACCGUGUGACCUACCCAUGUCCAGGUUGAAGUGGCGGUAAAACGCCAUGGAGGACCGAACCGACUCCCGUUGAAAUGGUAGCGGAUGAGAUGUGGGUAGCGGAGAAAUUCCAAUCGAACUCGGAUAUAGCUGGUUCUCUCCGAAAUAGCUUUAGGGCUAGCCUCGUAAUGAGAUUACCGGAGGUAAAGCACUGAAUGGGCUAGGGGCCGAAAGGUUACUGAACCCUAUCAAACUAAGAAUGCCGGAUAAUUAUUUACGGGAGUCAGACAGUGUGAGAUAAGUCUCAUUGUCAAAAGGGAAAGAGCCCAGACCCACAGCUAAGGUCCCUAAACACGGUUAAGUGGAGAAGGAUGUGGGGUUGCACAGACAACCAGGAUGUUGGCUUAGAAGCAGCCACUCAUUAAAAGAGUGCGUAAUAGCUCACUGGUCGAGUGACCCUGCGCCGAAAAUUUAACGGGGCUAAAUCGUGUACCGAAGCUUGGGAUUCAUACAUUAGUAUGAGUGGUAGGAGAGCGUUCCAUAAGGGGCGAAGUCAGAGCGGAAGCGCUGGUGGACUUUAUGGAAGUGAGAAUGCCGGAAUGAGUAGCGCGAAUUAUGUGAGAAUCAUAAUGGCCGAAAGUCUAAGGUUUUUGAAGGAAGGUUCGUCCGCUUCAAGAUAGUCGGGAGCUAAGGCGAGGCCGAGAGGCGUAGUCGAUGCACAUACGGUUGAUAUUCCGUAACCGUCAAAAGAUUUAAGCAAGGGGACACUCUGAAAGCGCAUAACCCGGGCGAUGGUUGACCCGGGCGUAAGGGACUGAAAUUUAGUAGGGAAGUAUGCGUAGACGGAGGCGAGAAAAGCCUUGUGUAUAUCUGCGAUGCCCGUACCGCAAACCGACACAGGUAGACAGGAAGAGGAUUCUAAGGCCAACGGGAGAAAGGUAGUUAAGGAACUCGGCAAAUUGACCCCGUAACUUCGGGAAAAGGGGUGCUCCGGAAACGGAGCCGCAGUGAAUAGGCCCAGGCAACUGUUUAGCAAAAACACAGGUCUCUGCAAAAUCGAAAGAUGACGUAUAGGGGCUGACACCUGCCCAGUGCUGGAAGGUUAAGAGGAGGCGUGCAAGCGCCGAAUCGAAGCCCCAGUGAACGGCGGCCGUAACUAUAACGGUCCUAAGGUAGCGAAAUUCCUUGUCGGGUAAGUUCCGACCCGCACGAAUGGUGUAAUGAUCUGGGCACUGUCUCAACUACCUGCCCGGCGAAAUUGUAGUACCGGUGAAGAUGCCGGUUACCCGCAACAAGACGGAAAGACCCCAUGGAGCUUCACUGCAGCUUAAUAUUGGGUUUCGAUAUUCUAUGUACAGGAUAGGCGGGAGACUUGGAAACAGCGGCGCCAGCCGUUGCGGAGUCGCCCUUGGGAUACCGCUCCUAGAGUAUUGGAAUUCUAACCUGCGGCCAUGAAUCUGGCCGGGGGACAUUGUUAGGCGGGCAGUUUGACUGGGGCGGUCGCCUCCAAAAGAGUAACGGAGGCGCUCAAAGGUCCGCUCAGCACGGACGGAAACCGUGCUCUAGAGUGUAAACGCAUAAGCGGGCUUAACUGCGAGACCGACGGGUCGAGCAGUAACGAAAGUUGGAGUUAGUGAUCCGGCGGUAUGAGAGUGGAAUUGCCGUCGCUCAACGGAUAAAAGCUACCCUGGGGAUAACAGGCUGAUCUCCCCCAAGAGUCCACAUCGACGGGGAGGUUUGGCACCUCGAUGUCGGCUCAUCACAUCCUGGGGCUGUAGUAGGUCCCAAGGGUUCGGCUGUUCGCCGAUUAAAGUGGUACGCGAGCUGGGUUCAGAACGUCGUGAGACAGUUCGGUCCCUAUCUGUUGCGGGCGCAGGAUAUUUGAGAGGAUCUGUCCUUAGUACGAGAGGACCGGGAUGGACGCACCUCUGGUGCACCAGUUGUCACGCCAGUGGCACAGCUGGGCAGCUAUGUGCGGAUCGGAUAAACGCUGAAAGCAUCUAAGCGUGAAGCCGGCCUCAAGAUAAGAUAUCCCACUGAGUUAAUCAGGUAAGGUCCCAUGAAGACUACAUGGUUGAUAGGCUGCGUGUGUAAGUGCGGUGACGCAUUUAGCUUGGCAGUACUAAUAGACCGAGGGCUUGACUAA
rnacentral:rRNA from 1 species